GCUGGGUAUGGUGGCGCAUGCCUGUAAUCCCAGCUACUCAGGAGGCUGAGGCAGGAGAAUUGCUUGAACCUGGGAAUUGGAGGUUGCAGUGCACUGAGAUUGUGCCACUGUACUCCAGCCUGGGAGACAGAGCAAGACUCUGUCUCAA
rnacentral:SRP_RNA from 1 species